GGUUUUUCUCAAUGUUCCUGCGCAGGAAGAAGGAUGGCCCAGCCAAGCUCGGAAUCCAAGUGUUCCCAGAUUCACAAAACGGGAGUUUAGUGGACAUCAUCGGCAGUUGGUGGAAAAGAUAGCAUUCAAGCUUGGAAUUCAGGUGUUUCCAGAUUCGCAAUACGGAAGUUUAGUGGACAUCAAUCACAGAUGGUGGUGGAAAAGAUAACACUAUUUGUGGAAUUUGGUUCAAGAUGUCAAUGUUUGAAAAAUUUACCAUUGUAAAAUUCUUAUGAGAUAUUUUACAUCGCACUAACAUACCAUGUUACGGUUUAACAGUGAUUAAAGUUCAUGAUGCCAUUUUACAAAUCGAAUGAAU